GCCAUGUCACAAGCGUAACAGGA
rnacentral:siRNA from 1 species